rnacentral:rRNA from 1 species
UACGUAGGGUGCAAGCGUUAAUCGGAAUUACUGGGCGUAAAGCGUGCGCAGGCGGUUAUGUAAGACAGGUGUGAAAUCCCCGGGCUUAACCCUGGGAACUGCAUUUGUGACUGCAUAGCUAGAGUACGGUAGAGGGGGAUGGAAUUCCGCGUGUAGCAGUGAAAUGCGUAGAUAUGCGGAGGAACACCGAUGGCGAAGGCAAUCCCCUGGACCUGUACUGACGCUCAUGCACGAAAGCGUGGGGAGCAAACAGG